rnacentral:rRNA from 1 species
AGGACGAACGCUGGCGGCGUGCCUAACACAUGCAAGUCGAGCGAUGAAACCCUCGGGGUGAAUUAGCGGCGGACGGGUGAGUAACACGUGGGUAACCUGCCUUAUAGAGGGGGAUAGCCUUCCGAAAGGAAGAUUAAUACCGCAUGAAAUGUUUUUAUCGCAUGGUAGAAACAUCAAAGGAGUAAUCCGCUAUAAGAUGGACCCGCGGCGCAUUAGCUAGUUGGUGAGGUAACGGCCCACCAAGGCGACGAUGCGUAGCCGACCUGAGAGGGUGAUCGGCCACAUUGGAACUGAGACACGGUCCAGACUCCUACGGGAGGCAGCAGUGGGGAAUAUUGCGCAAUGGGGGAAACCCUGACGCAGCAACGCCGCGUGAAUGAAGAAGGCCUUAGGGUUGUAAAGUUCUGUUUUCUGGGACGAUAAUGACGGUACCAGAGGAGGAAGCCACGGCUAACUACGUGCCAGCAGCAGC